CCUUAACUUGUUAAGGUGGAGAGUGGCGCACGGGUGAGUAACACAUGGCUGACCUGCCCUUCAGAGGGGGACAACCAGUGGAAACGCUGGCUAAUACCCCAUACGUUCGCGGGAGUUAGAGCCCCGUGAAGAAAGUGUUUAGCGCUGAAGGAGGGGGCUGUGGCCCAUCAGCUAGUUGGUAGGGUAACGGCCUACCAAGGCGAGGACGGGUAGGGGGCCUGAGAGGGUGACCCCCCACACGGGUACUGAGACACGGACCCG
rnacentral:rRNA from 1 species